CAGUCGUACGCUUCUUUUUCACCGGAGCUUGCUCCACCGGAAAAAGAAGAGUGGCGAACGGGUGAGUAACACGUGGGUAACCUGCCCAUCAGAAGGGGAUAACACUUGGAAACAGGUGCUAAUACCGUAUAACAAUCGAAACCGCAUGGUUUUGAUUUGAAAGGCGCUUUCGGGUGUCGCUGAUGGAUGGACCCGCGGUGCAUUAGCUAGUUGGUGAGGUAACGGCUCACCAAGGCCACGAUGCAUAGCCGACCUGAGAGGGUGAUCGGCCACAUUGGGACUGAGACACGGCCCAAACUCCUACGGGAGGCAGCAGUAGGGAAUCUUCGGCAAUGGACGAAAGUCUGACCGAGCAACGCCGCGUGAGUGAAGAAGGUUUUCGGAUCGUAAAACUCUGUUGUUAGAGAAGAACAAGGAUGAGAGUAACUGUUCAUCCCUUGACGGUAUCUAACCAGAAAGCCACGGCUAACUACGUGCCAGCAGCCGCGGUAAUACGUAGGUGGCAAGCGUUGUCCGGAUUUAUUGGGCGUAAAGCGAGCGCAGGCGGUUUCUUAAGUCUGAUGUGAAAGCCCCCGGCUCAACCGGGGAGGGUCAUUGGAAACUGGGAGACUUGAGUGCAGAAGAGGAGAGUGGAAUUCCAUGUGUAGCGGUGAAAUGCGUAGAUAUAUGGAGGAACACCAGUGGCGAAGGCGGCUCUCUGGUCUGUAACUGACGCUGAGGCUCGAAAGCGUGGGGAGCAAACAGGAUUAGAUACCCUGGUAGUCCACGCCGUAAACGAUGAGUGCUAAGUGUUGGAGGGUUUCCGCCCUUCAGUGCUGCAGCUAACGCAUUAAGCACUCCGCCUGGGGAGUACGACCGCAAGGUUGAAACUCAAAGGAAUUGACGGGGGCCCGCACAAGCGGUGGAGCAUGUGGUUUAAUUCGAAGCAACGCGAAGAACCUUACCAGGUCUUGACAUCCUUUGACCACUCUAGAGAUAGAGCUUCCCCUUCGGGGGCAAAGUGACAGGUGGUGCAUGGUUGUCGUCAGCUCGUGUCGUGAGAUGUUGGGUUAAGUCCCGCAACGAGCGCAACCCUUAUUGUUAGUUGCCAUCAUUCAGUUGGGCACUCUAGCAAGACUGCCGGUGACAAACCGGAGGAAGGUGGGGAUGACGUCAAAUCAUCAUGCCCCUUAUGACCUGGGCUACACACGUGCUACAAUGGGAAGUACAACGAGUCGCGAAGUCGCGAGGCUAAGCUAAUCUCUUAAAGCUUCUCUCAGUUCGGAUUGUAGGCUGCAACUCGCCUACAUGAAGCCGGAAUCGCUAGUAAUCGCGGAUCAGCACGCCGCGGUGAAUACGUUCCCGGGCCUUGUACACACCGCCCGUCACACCACGAGAGUUUUAACACCCGAAGUCGGUGAGGUAACCUUUG
rnacentral:rRNA from 1 species